CCUUCCGAAGCGCGCGGUGGCUGCUACAGUCUAAGCGGCAGUCUCCUCCCUCCUUCCCUCCCUCCCGGGUUCCCUCCCUCCUUCCCUCUCCGUUCUCCUCCCUCCUCCCGCUCUCUUUCCCCCCUCCCCCCUCCGAACCCCGGCGCAAGGGGGGAAUUAGAAACUGCUCUAGAAGGAUUUUAAACAACUGGCUGUUCUCUCCGCCGCCGCCCCUCCCCCCGCGCCGCCCGCGCUCGGCUCCUCACUGGAGAGAAGGCGCCGGGAGGAGGGGAAAGUGCGGCCUGGAGUCGCUGGUAGGAGCCGGCGGAGCUGGAGCUGUGGCGGCCCCAGACUUCGGGGCGCCCGCCGGGUACACAGACAGACCUACGGCCCCAGUCUUCUCCGGAGCCCCCACCGGCCCCCUCUCCGGCUCCUCUCCUGUCUGUGACCCUGCGCCAGUACCCUGAAUUGAUCUCUGCCGCCUCAGCCCUACUCCCUGGGUGUCGCCCCCACCUCGCCCCCCCCCCCCGCCCUGCUCCCAGAGGGAUGGCUGGCGAGGGACACACGCGCCGUUCCCUCGACCUUCUGUCUGAGCGACCCCGAGCGACUCGCCUUUCCUCCAGGGGAGGGACUGUGCCUCCGGCCCUCGGCGCCGCUGGAGUGGCGUCGCCUCGCCCCUAGGGCCGCGCCCUGCUGCCCUGGGGAACACCCUGCCUCAGACCUGCCUCCCCUCUUUUUAGAGGGAUUUGGUGGUGGAUACAAGGCAUUCAUGGACUCAGGAGAAGCAGGAGUGAUGCUUAGCAAGAACUUUAUUGUAGUCCCAUUGUAACUCCUCUACCUACCCCCG